rnacentral:lncRNA from 1 species
GGAUGAUGGCAAUAAUGUUUAACUGAGUAAUGUGAACUCUAUUGAAUCAGUUGAUCCGUUGAGUAGUGAUGCUGAGUUUGGUUGUAAGAUAAAAAAAAUAAACAUAUACUCACAAAAUGUAAAAGGCAAACCAUUUAAGAUUGUAGAGAGGGCUAAUCAUGUUGGAGGAAUGGUAGCUAUUUGUAGAUGUGAAUGAGUUUAGGAAUGCAUUUAGAGAUUACGUAA